rnacentral:misc_RNA from 1 species
AAGUCGUAACAAGGUUUCCGUAGGUGAACCUGCGGAAGGAUCAUUACCGAGUACUAUAACUCAUAACCCUUUGUGAACCUUCAUACCUGUUGCUUCGGCGGCGAGCCCCCUGGGCGGACCGCCGGAGGAAUACAAACUCUUUGCAUUAUAGUAUCUCUGAUUACUUAUUCAAUAAGUUAAAACUUUCAACAACGGAUCUCUUGGUUCUG